rnacentral:rRNA from 1 species
CGCAGCCGCGGUAAUUCCAGCUCCAAUAGCGUAUAUUAAAGUUGUUGCAGUUAAAAAGCUCGUAGUUGAAUUUCGGGGUUAGUAGGUUGGUCAUGCCUCUGGUAUGUACUGGUCUCACUGAUUCCUCCUUCCUGAUGAGCCGUAAUGCCAUUAAUUUGGUGUUGCGGGGAAUUUGGACUGUUACUUUGAAAAAAUUAGAGUGUUUAAAGCAAGCUAACGCUUGAAUACAUUAGCAUGGAAUAAUGAAAUAGGACGUUCGAUCCUAUUUUGUUGGUUUCUAGGAUUGACGUAAUGGUUAAUAGGGAUAGUUGGGGGCAUUAGUAUUCAAUUGUCAGAGGUGAAAUUCUUGGAUUUAUUGAAGACUAACUACUGCGAAAGCAUUUGCCAAGGAUGUUUUCAUUAAUCAAGAACGAAAGUUAGGGGAUCGAAGACGAUCAGAUACCGUCGUAGUCUUAACCAUAAACUAUGCCGACUAGGGAUCGGAUGAUGUUAAUUUUUUAAUGUACUUCUAUUCCGGCGUCCGUUAACGGGAAACCC